AUUGAACGCUGGCGGCAGGCCUAACACAUGCAAGUCGAACGAGUGGCGGACGGUUGAGUAAUGUCUGGGAAACUGCCCGAUGGAGGGGGAUAACUACUGGAAACGGUAGCUAAUACCGCAUACCAUCGGAUGUGCACAGAUGGGAUUAGCUUGUAGGUGAGGUAACGGCUCACCUAGGCGACGAUCCCUAGCUGGUCUGAGAGGAGGACCAGCCACACUGGAACUGAGACACGGUCCAGAAUCAUACGGUAGGCAGAAUUGGGGAAUAGUGCACAAUGGGCGCAAGGCUGAUGCAGCAAUGCGGCGUGUAUGAAGAAGGCGUUUGGGUUGUAAAGUACUUUCAGCGGGGAAGCGGUACCCGAAGAAGAAGCACCGGCUAACUCCGUGCCAGCCGAAGCGGUAAUUC
rnacentral:rRNA from 1 species